CUAACACAUGCAAGUCGAACGGUAACAGGAAGCAGCUUGCUGCUUCGCUGACGAGUGGCGGACGGGUGAGUAAUGUCUGGGAAGCUGCCUGAUGGAGGGGGAUAACUACUGGAAACGGUAGCUAAUACCGCAUAAUGCCGCAAGACCAAAGAGGGGGACCUUCGGGCCUCUUGCCAUCGGAUGUGCCCAGAUGGGAUUAGCUUGUUGGUGGGGUAACGGCUCACCAAGGCGACGAUCCCUAGCUGGUCUGAGAGGAUGACCAGCCACACUGGAACUGAGACACGGUCCAGACUCCUACGGGAGGCAGCAGUGGGGAAUAUUGCACAAUGGGCGCAAGCCUGAUGCAGCCAUGCCGCGUGUAUGAAGAAGGCCUUCGGGUUGUAAAGUACUUUCAGCGGGGAGGAAGGGAGUAAAGUUAAUACCUUUGCUCAUUGACGUUACCCGCAGAAGAAGCACCGGCUAACUCCGUGCCAGCAGCCGCGGUAAUACGGAGGGUGCAAGCGUUAAUCGGAAUUACUGGGCGUAAAGCGCACGCAGGCGGUUUGUUAAGUCAGAUGUGAAAUCCCCGGGCUCAACCUGGGAACUGCAUCUGAUACUGGCAAGCUUGAGUCUCGUAGAGGGGGGUAGAAUUCCAGGUGUA
rnacentral:rRNA from 1 species